CUUUGACAUUGCUGAACGGAGCUGAGACACCAUUACAGGGUGAGAGAUCUCUGCUGGAAAACACACGACGGGAAGAUCUGAAGCAGUCAAGAGAAGGGACAGUAACUCGGGUGAGAGAUCUCUGCUGGAAAACACACGACGGGAAGAUCUGAAGCAGUCAAGAGAAGGGACAGUAACUCGCUACAUCAACUGAUGUUGAACGAUCCUGCUGUUAAUAAUUCACCUGGUGACAGGUGAGUGAUGAGGACAGUAGAUUUUGACAUUGCUGAACGGAGCUGAGACACCAUUACAGGGUGUGAGAUCUCUGCUGGAAAACACACGACGGGAAGAUCUGAAGCAAUCAAGAGAAGGGACAGGAACUCAGUGAGUCUUGUUUUUGAGAG
rnacentral:lncRNA from 1 species